rnacentral:lncRNA from 1 species
UUUUUGUUUCACAAAGGAAAAUCUUUCAAUUUUAUGGCAACCCGUCUCCUCCGAACAAACUUUAUCCGGCGUCCUUACCGUUUCUCCGCUUUAACUCCGGUGGGUCCCCCCACCGUAACGGCUUCAACCGCCGUCGUCCCUGAGAUUCUCUCCUUCGGACAACAAGCGCCGGAGCCACCUCUCCACCACCCAAAACCAAACGAAGCUCACCAUGACAUCGAUCUCUCCGAUCAAGCCCGUCUCUUUGCCUCCGUGCCCACCUCCGAUCUCCUCCGCU